GUCUCUUGUGUUAUUACGUGUGUUAUAGGCUGAACUGUGUCCCAUCCGCAAAUCCGCAGGUUGAAGUCCUCACCCCCAGUACCUCAGAAUGUGACUGCAUUUGGAAACAGGGUCUUUAAAGAGGAUUUAUAUGUAUAUUGAGGAAAAGGAGGAAGUGGCCUCAUACCCAUAAAUAAACAUUCAAACAUCUCUACCCCAAAGUGAGGACAUUUAGCACAACGCUAUUAAAAACAGGUCUGUCUACCUGGAUAUCUGUUUACACCCUUUCAAGUACUCUCAUCUGAGACAAGACCAAACCAGAACCACAUUAGUGAAAUGAUUCAUGCACCACAAGUGUAGAAGCAGCCUGGACUACAAAACCCUUCAAAUGUUAAUGUACGAUGAAGUCUUCGAAUCCAUCUGAAUUCCAAACUGGGAAGAAACAAAGUGUUUCGUGUGGAAGAUGAACCACGAAACAUCAAGGUAUCUAUGUUUUAGCUCUGCCCACAACCUGACCCUCCCUGAACUGCAAAAAAUUUCACAAAAGGCUCUAACAGAAAUAUGAUAACUGAUGAUGUUUUGCCUUUUAAAUUUUGUCUUCUAAACCAGGUCACCAAUUAAAAAAAAAAAAGUUUAACAAUUUGGCAUCAGUUGGAAAUGACCCACAACAGACCAGAGCAAUUGUUUUUGCUCCAAGGUCCUUCUGGGACAAUAAUUCUCCCGGGAGGCAGUGUGUUGUAGUGGAAAAUGCCCGAGGCCAACCGACCUGGCUCAGCCACCUCAGGGUUCCCUGAUCCACUUAAUCUUUUAAGUUCUUCAUCUGUAAAAUCGGGAUAAGAACACAUACUCUAACAGGAUACUGAAGGGCUCAAAUGAGUUGGUGACUGCCCAAUUCUCUCAUGUCCCAUCCCUGGACAGCAUAUAUUUGGUUUCAUCUGCAAAGAUAAUGAAGUUUUCCUUUUUCCAAUGAGUCCUCAUUUUCUAUCAUUCACGUGUCUAAUUCAGAAAUCAAAACAAGUUUGCUCCAGGUCGGCCGAGUGGAGCGUUGGUUAAGAGCUAGCUUGGGACACCAGCUCUGA